rnacentral:tRNA from 1 species
UGGCUCAGAGGUGAAGAGCACUGGCUGCUCUUCCAGAGGUCCUGGGUUCAAUUCCCAG